ensembl:lncRNA
CAGAAAGCUCUGUGUCUCGUUAAAACCUGGGAGAUAGGGGGUGAAGAGACGGUGGGUUCUGUCUGCACGCCCCAUUUGACUCAGAAAUAUGGCUUCAUUGAGUAUGGAUUGGACUUUUCCCCCCUCUAUGCUUUCUGUGUGUGUGUGUCUGUGGGUGUGUGUGUGUGUGUGUGUGUGUGUGCGUGCGUGUGCGUGCAUGCGUGAGUGAGUGAAGCAACCCACUCUGUCAGGUUAAAGUGCUGAACAGCCUAAGGGGAGGGAUGGAAGGUAGAGAGACAGAGAGAGAGGAAGGUGAGGGAUGGAAGGUAGAGACAGAGAGAGAGGAAGGUGAGGGAUGGAAGGUAGAGAGACAGAGAGAGAGGAAGGUGAGGGAUGGAAGGUAGAGAGAGGAAGGUGAGGGAUGGAAGGUAGAGAGACAGAGAGAGAGGAAGGUGAGGGAUGGAAGGUAGAGAGACAGAGAGAGAGGAAGGUGAGGGAUGGAAGGUAGAGACAGAGAGAGAGGAAGGUGAGGGAUGGAAGGUAGAGAGACAGAGAGAGAGGAAGGUGGGGGAUGGAAGGUAGAGAGAGGAAGGUGAGGGAUGGAAGGUAGAGACAGAGAGAGGAAGGUGAGGGAUAGAAGGUAGAGAGACAGAGAGAGGAAGGUGAGGGGUGGAAGGUAGAGAGGAAAAGGGAG